GCUCAGGCGGUGGAGGAGAGGGGAGGUGGCUGCAUCUGCAAAACUACGGGGAGCAGCCGGUCUCAGUGCCACUAUGGGUGCUGAAAUGUGCUGCAGCAGGAACCUUGGAGUGGCAAGCUGGAACAACACAGGAACAUUACUGGGAAUUGUGCCAGCACUUCCCACUGAAGACUGAGUUACUUAUCAAAGAACUGCUUAUCAUUUUUGUAGGAGCAAUCAUGGCCAGCAGGAAUCAAAUUUGGUUAACACAUCAACAAGCUCAACCCACAGUCCAAGUCCAUAUGGAUGUUUGAGCCACAGGGGGUGCAGGAGCCCAGAUGAUCAAGUGUGUCAAAGACCAAUAACAGAUAGCAGUAUAACAGGGACCCAGUCGAGGACUGUUGAGACAAGCACAACACAGUACAGUGCAAACACAGAAAUGAGGUCACAAAGUGAGCAUGGACUGUCAAUCAAAGGUUGCCCCAGCAGCAGUGGGCACUGGUUUGAUCAAAGGCCUCAUCCAGAAAGAACUCAAUGGACAAAUUACAUACAUCCAUGCACGCGAGAAAAUUACAGAUUUGUAAUAAAGCCAUAAGACAU